rnacentral:rRNA from 1 species
AUUGAACGCUGGCGGCAUGCUUUACACAUGCAAGUCGAACGGUAACAGCACUUCGGUGGCUGACGAGUGGCGAACGGGUGAGUAAUACAUCGGAACGUGCCUAGUAGUGGGGGAUAACUACUCGAAAGAGUAGCUAAUACCGCAUGAGAUCUAAGGAUGAAAGCAGGGGACCUUCGGGCCUUGCGCUACUAGAGCGGCCGAUGGCAGAUUAGGUAGUUGGUGGGAUAAAGCUUACCAAGCCGACGAUCUGUAGCUGGUCUGAGAGGACGACCAGCCACACUGGGACUGAGACACGGCCCAGACUCCUACGGGAGGCAGCAGUGGGGAAUUUUGGACAAUGGGCGCAAGCCUGAUCCAGCAAUGCCGCGUGCAGGAUGAAGGCCUUCGGGUUGUAAACUGCUUUUGUACGGAACGAAAAGCCCUCUUCUAAUACAGGAGGGUCAUGACGGUACCGUAAGAAUAAGCACCGGCUAACUACGUG